CCCACACCCAUGUGUAUAGGACCCCAAAGGAUCACCAUUAAAUUUGGUACAUAUCUCUAGAAAAGUUAUCACAUGGAUGUGGGACUUGACUUUUCUAGAGAUUUGUGCUAAAUUUAAUGAUGAUCAUUUGGGGUCAUACACACAUGGGUAUGAG
rnacentral:pre_miRNA from 1 species